GUACCCGGAGGAAGAGAAAGAAAAAUCGAUUUCCUAAGUAGCGGCGAGCGAACGGGAAAGAGCCCAAACCAGAAACUUGUUUCUGGGGUUGUGGAUAGAUCAUAAAAGAAGAGGUAUCUUAAUCGAAGAGGGCUGGAACGCCCUACCAUAGAAGGUAAUAGUCCUGUAGGUAAAAAGAGAAAACUUCGAGAUCUAAUCCAGAGUACCACGAGACACGUGAAACCUUGUGGGAAGCAGGGAGGACCACCUCCCAAGGCUAAAUACUACCUAGUGACCGAUAGUGAAGCAGUACCGUGAGGGAAAGGUGAAAAGAACCCCGGAAGGGGAGUGAAAUAGAACCUGAAACCGUGUGCCUACAA
rnacentral:rRNA from 1 species